UACGGAGGGUGCAAGCGUUGUCCGGAUUUAUUGGGCGUAAAGCGCGCGCAGGCGGUCCCUUAAGUCUGAUGUGAAAGCCCACGGCUCAACCGUGGAGGGUCAUUGGAAACUGGGGGACUUGAGUGCAGAAGAGGAAAGUGGAAUUCCAUGUGUAGCGGUGAAAUGCGUAGAGAUGUGGAGGAACACCAGUGGCGAAGGCGACUUUCUGGUCUGUAACUGACGCUGAGGCGCGAAAGCGUGGGGAGCAAACAGG
rnacentral:rRNA from 1 species